GAUGAACGCUGGCGGCGUGCCCAAUACAUGCAAGUCGAGCGAACAGACGAGGAGCUUGCUCCUCUGACGUUAGCGGCGGACGGGUGAGUAACACGUGGAUAACCUACCUAUAAGACUGGGAUAACUUCGGGAAACCGGAGCUAAUACCGGAUAAUAUAUUGAACCGCAUGGUUCAAUAGUGAAAGACGGUUUUGCUGUCACUUAUAGAUGGAUCCGCGCCGCAUUAGCUAGUUGGUAAGGUAACGGCUUACCAAGGCAACGAUGCGUAGCCGACCUGAGAGGAUGAUCGGCCACACUGGAACUGAGACACGGUCCAGACUCCUACGGGAGGCAGCAGUAGGGAAUCUUCCGCAAUGGGCGAAAGCCUGACGGAGCAACGCCGCGUGAGUGAUGAAGGUCUUCGGAUCGUAAAACUCUGUUAUUAGGGAAGAACAAAUGUGUAAGUAACUAUGCACGUCUUGACGGUACCUAAUCAGAAAGCCACGGCUAACUACGUG
rnacentral:rRNA from 1 species